AACGCUGGCGGCGCGCUUAACACAUGCAAGUCGAGCGAGAACCUUUCCUUCGGGAUUGGGGACAGCGGCGAACGGGUGAGUAACACGUGGGUAAUCUGCCCUCGGCAUCGGGAUAGCCCGGGGAAACCCGGAUUAAUACCGAAUAGCCUCCGGAGCCUUCGGGCGCCGGAGAAAAGGUAGCUUCGGCCUCUGGCCGAGGAUGAGCCCGCGGCGGAUUAGCUUGUUGGCGGGGUAACGGCCCACCAAGGCGACGAUCCGUAGCUGGUCUGAGAGGACGAUCAGCCACACUGGGACUGAGACACGGCCCAGACUCCUACGGGAGGCAGCAGUGGGGAAUCUUGCGCAAAUGCGGGAAACCGUGACGCAGCGACGCCGCGUGGGGGAAGAAGGCCUUCGGGUUGUAAACCUCUUUCAGGAGGGACGAAGCUACUCGGGUGAAUAGCCCAGAGGGUGACGGUACCUUCAGAAGAAGCCCCGGCUAACUACGUGCCAGCAGCCGCGGUAAAAC
rnacentral:rRNA from 1 species